AGCCGGGCCCAGUCCAGGUCCCAGAGCCCAGGGGAGCUUGUCAAGAAGCCUGUGCCCGGCCUCAGGCUCGCCUCCCUUGCCCACUGGCCAGACUCCUCUGAUGAGCCCGGGCUCUGUGCUGGCACUGGCUACCCCUGAGCAGGCACUGAGGGCCUGGGAGUGAGCAAUGGGGUGAAGGGGCAAGUUGGUGGCACACCCUGCACCGUGGCGGGGCCCAUGAGGCACAGCGCCCUACGGUGCAGGAGCUGCACCCAGGACCGUGGGUGUCACUGCACAGAAAGGGCCGGCACGUAAAGAGCGCCCAACGCAGGGACUCGGAAGAGCACCUGACACUGCGGAAACAGGACAGAGAGCAGACCCAAGGCAGCUUCUGGAAAACGGAGCCCAGGAAGCGCUGCGAGCUCUGCCGACUCCAAAUCCAGGCUCUUCCUGCAGCAGGAGCAGGGUCCAGCCCACGGUGCUCCCCAGAGGCCUCCAGACUCUCCCAACCAUGGCCUCCUGUCCCCCAC
rnacentral:lncRNA from 1 species